rnacentral:misc_RNA from 1 species
AAAUGCGAUAAGUAAUGUGAAUUGCAGAAUUCAGUGAAUCAUCGAAUCUUUGAACGCACAUUGCGCCCGCCAGUAUUCUGGCGGGCAUGCCUGUUCGAGCGUCAUUUCAACCAUCAAGCCCCCGGCUUGUGUUGGGGACCUGCGGCUGCCCGCAGGCCCUGAAAAACAGUGGCGGACUCGCUGUCACACCGAGCGUAGUAGCAUACAUUCUCGCUCAGGGCGUGCUGCGGGUUCCGGCCGUUAAACGACCUUCAUAACCCAAGGUUGACCUCGGAUCAGGUAGGAAGACCCGCUGAACUUAAGC